GUCGAGGGGUACAUUGUGCUUGCACAGAUGACGACCGGCGCACGGGUGCGUAACGCGUAUAGAACCUACCUUUUACUGAGGGAUAGCCUUUAGAAAUGAAGAUUAAUACCUCAUAGUAUUGAGACUUGGCAUCGAGUUUUAAUUAAAGAUUUAUUGGUAAAAGAUGGCUAUGCGUCCUAUUAGUUAGAUGGUAAGGUAACGGCUUACCAUGACUUUGAUAGGUAGGGGUCCUGAGAGGGAGAUCCCCCACACUGGUACUGAGACACGGACCAGACUCCUACGGGAGGCAGCAGUGAGGAAUAUUGGGCAAUGGAGGCAACUCUGACCCAGCCAUGCCGCGUGCAGGAAGACUGCCCUAUGGGUUGUAAACUGCUUUUAUACAGGAAGAAACACUGGUAUGUAUACCAGCUUGACGGUACUGUAAGAAUAAGGACCGGCUAACUCCGUGCCAGCAGCCGCGGUAAUACGGAGGGUCCGAGCGUUAUCCGGAAUCAUUGGGUUUAAAGGGUCCGCAGGCGGUCAAUUAAGUCAGAGGUGAAAUCCCAUAGCUCAACUAUGGAACUGCCUUUGAUACUGGUUGACUUGAGUCAUAUGGAAGUAGAUAGAAUGUGUAGUGUAGCGGUGAAAUGCAUAGAUAUUACACAGAAUACCGAUUGCGAAGGCAGUCUACUACGUAUGUACUGACGCUGAGGGACGAAAGCGUGGGGAGCGAACAGGAUUAGAUACCCUGGUAGUCCACGCCGUAAACGAUGGAUACUAGUUGUUGGGCAUUAGCUCAGUGACUAAGCGAAAGUGAUAAGUAUCCCACCUGGGGAGUACGGUCGCAAGACUGAAACUCAAAGGAAUUGACGGGGGCCCGCACAAGCGGUGGAGCAUGUGGUUUAAUUCGAUGAUACGCGAGGAACCUUACCAG
rnacentral:rRNA from 1 species